GCGACUCGACCCUUCCCUUCUCGGCUCGAUCGUGACACCGUUGACGGCUUGAGGCUUCUCAAAUCUUCAGUUCUUGGGCUGCCCCUGCUCCAAAGUCCGGAUCUCCUCUCCAGCUCUCCUCGGCUCCUCCGACCUCCAGGCUCUGGCCUCCAUGGCUCCGCUCUAAAGUCUCAUCCUCUUCGGCAGUCGACUCCUCUCAAUCUCGUCAGUGGUCCACGGUUGACCGUCCUCCGGCUCCAAGAAGGCAGGAACCCGACGACAAGAAGGCAGUCGGCUCCUCUCGAUCUCUCCACAGCUAGCCAGCCAUUAACUCUAAGCCGGGCUCGGGAGCAUCCAAGUUCCAACGGGAUUACGGGAAGCUUCCAAUUUUAUCGUUGCUGCCCAACUUGUAGAGCUGUAACCUGUAAGUCUUGAUUUCUCUUUUUUCUGAUUUCCUGUGAUCAAGUGCAAGAUAUAAAAAAGAAAACCCUGAUUCUCUUUUUUCUCCUACCGUUCUAUCUGAUUUCUUUUAUCUGUUUUCUUCUUUACUUCCCUUUCCCUCUCUGGUCUCUCUGUAUGGGUUAGAUUGGCUGCAUCUCUUGUUUUUU
rnacentral:lncRNA from 1 species